rnacentral:rRNA from 1 species
GCUUACGGCCAUACCACCCUGAGCACGCCCGAUCUCGUCUGAUCUCGGAGGCUAAGCAGGGUCGGGCCUGGUUAGUACUUGGAUGGGAGACCGCCUGGGAAUACCAGGUGCUGUAAGCG